AGUGAACGCUGGCGGCGUGCCUAAUACAUGCAAGUCGAACGAAGUGGAGCACGGGUGAGUAAUGUAUAGCUAAUCUGCCCUCCACUAGAGGGCAACAGUUUGGAACGGCUGCUAAUACUCUAUAGUGUAGGAUGAGGUUAUAUUGUAUCAGCUAGUUGGUGAGGUAAUGGCUCAUCAAGGCUAUGACGCAUAACUGGUCUGAGAGGAGGAUCAGUCACACUGGAACUGAGACACGGUCCAGACUCCUACGGGAGGCAGCAGUAGGGAAUAUUGCUCAAUGGGGGAAACCCUGAAGGAGCAACGCCGCGUGGAGGAUGAAACUUUUUGGAGCGUAAACACCUUUUGUAAGGGAAGCGGUACCUAACGAAUAAGCACCGGCUAACUCCGUGCCAGCAGCCGCGGUAAUUC
rnacentral:rRNA from 1 species